UGGGGAAUAUUGCACAAUGGGGGAAACCCUGAUGCAGCGACGCCGCGUGGGGGAUGACGGCCUUCGGGUUGUAAACCUCUUUCAGUAGGGAAGAAGCCUUCGGGUGACGGUACCUGCAGAAGAAGUACCGGCUAACUACGUGCCGGCAGCCGCGGUAAUACGUAGGGUACAAGCGUUGUCCGGAAUUAUUGGGCGUAAAGAGCUCGUAGGUGGUCUGUCACGUCUGCUGUGGAAACGCAAGGCUCAACCUUGCGCGUGCAGUGGGUACGGGCGGACUAGAGUGCAGUAGGGGAGUCUGGAAUUCCUGGUGUAGCGGUGAAAUGCGCAGAUAUCAGGAGGAACACCGGUGGCGAAGGCGGGACUCUGGGCUGUAACUGACGCUGAGGAGCGAAAGCAUGGGGAGCGAACAGGAUUAGAUACCCCAGUAGUCCCUGAGCGGGCUGGCAAGGCGCAU
rnacentral:rRNA from 1 species